CCAUAGCUUGGCUUGUGGAAGAAUAUUUGUUAAUCAAAUGAGAGUGACAAAAACAGCCACAAAACAGUGUACGAUCUGAGAGAUGCUCGGUGACUAAGAGCGUUUGCCGCUUUUGAGAAGAGCCUGGUUUGGUUCUAAGCUCACAAUUGUUGGAGCUCCAGAUCCAGUGGGGUCUGACAUCUGUGGAAUUCCAGCUCCAGUGGGGUCUGACAGACACCCUCUUCUGGUAUCUGAAGGCAACUGUACAUAGACCCUCCCCAAUAAAAAUAAAUAAAUAUAAGUCUUUUAAAAAGAUGAUAAUAAUCCAGUUCCUUAGUCACACUGGUUACUUUAAGACCAUUCAGUAGCUGUAUGGAUGGAGCAAUUGGAGAUCAACCCCUCAAUUUUCAGGGAGGGAGAGAAACCAGAAAGGCUCCUACAGGUGGAUCUUCUCCUCCUCACAGCCCUAAGACUUUUUCAUGCCUAGUCUCGCCCGCAGAACAGACCUGAAUGGACCCAUCAUCCAGAGUUAGAACGACUGUGUGCCUAGAAAGCCCCUUCUGCUUCCUGUCCCCACCAUCUGCCUCCAGCUUGAGGAUGUUUAUACUGAAUGUCUCAUUUCAAGGAUGCAACAAGUCCAAGCCCUCUGAUCUGCUGCUCAGCCUGUCUAGCCCCCAGGCAAGCUGUUUACAUGGAAUCCAAGUGCUCCACCAGGGGCAGAAUACAUUUUUCCACAGCUGCUGAGAAAGAUGAGCAGGUCGGGGCAGAAUAACAAAAAGCCACUUCAAAAACACACCAGAAGAAGUCACGAAGCUGAGACAAUCACAGGUUUGAAACAUCCCCUCCUCCCAAAGGCCUGACAAGAGAGUAAAAACAAGUCACCAGGGAGCCUGGGCCCUGCUGGUUUCGAGCUCUGUGUGGUUGGUGCCUUGAGAACCGGGCCUGUCCCUGCACUUCUGAGAGGAGCCAGGUCUUGAGGUUGUGGGGGCUCAGAAACCUCACCUGAGUUCUGAGAAUUGUGGGGCCUGGGGGGACAGUCCCUAGGUGCUCAGUGUCUCUGGGAAGAUGAGGGGGGAGACUGUGGGAAAGGCAGGGCCAGGAUGGAUGGGCACAGGAGUGGGGGUUCCUCUUGUCCAGAGAACAGCUAGAGUAAGGCAGUAGAGUCCCGUCUUGCCUCCCGCUUAGGAGGAACCUAUUGCCCCAGAAGGCAAGGCAUCACAGAGUUUAUGUGUCAGGGGAAGCUAAAGGCAUAAAGUCACUCGUAUUCACAGAAUUUUUCCUCUGGGACCUAUGGCUUCUCUCCUCAACUCCAUUCUCCUUUGUAGGGCAGUUGCUCUCAAUGAGGACGACCUGGAGUUUGGAGGUAUUGGCUCAAGUUGCUGUGAGACCUUAGGUUACUUAUAUAACACUCUACUAAAUGAACUACAUCUCCUGCUAAAACGAAGCAGAGUAUUGGGAGAGGCUAAGCUCUGGGUUUUGUUUGUUUAUUUGUUUGUUUUUUGAGACAUAAGGCUCAGACUAACCUCUAACUCACUGUGUGGUUGAGGAUGACCUCAGAGUUGUUCCUUUACCUCCCAAGUGUUGGGAUUACAGGUAUGCUCAGUUAGUUUGGGUUUGCUGUCUAGGUUUUCUUUCUUUCUUUUCUUUCCUUUUCCUAGUUUGGAAACAGGGUCUCAAAGAUGUAACCCAGACUAGCUUCCAGUCUCAGCUUCUCAAGUCCUGAACUCACAGACAUGCACCUCCAUGCCUGCUUUUGACCUUCAUUUCUUGCCCUGCACAGUGUAGCCUUAGUUUAGAAGGUGAGCUCUCAACCUUGGCUGCAUGUUGAAAUCACCUAGGAGGUUCAACAAUCAAUCAAUCAAUCAAUCAGUCAAUCAAUCAUCAAUCAAUCAAUCGAUGUGAUUCUCAGUGUCCUGGGACAAACCCUGGUCAACAGCAGUUUUCAAAGCUCUUCAAAUGAUUCUAAUGUCCAGACAAGGACUGUGAUCCUCCUAGAAUGUCUCAAAGUUUGGUGUGUUCAGGAAUCACCUGGGAUCUUAGAUAUUACAGCUGGUCCAGUGUAGAUUCUGACAGCUUGUAUUUCUGCUAAACCCACAGGUGAUGCCCAGGGACCACACUUGGAGUCAUAGCUGUCCAUGUUUAUGUUCCUGUCACUGGAACUGAACCAGGAAGCUGGGUGUGAAGCUCCCCAAACUCAACCCGAGUUUGGGUUCCCUCCAGUAACACCAUGUUUAUGCAAGUGGCCAGCCAAGUUCCUGUUGCCAUGCCUUUCCUGCCAUGAGGACAGCUCCCUGAAGUCAGUUCUUGCCGAGCUCCUCUAGAGGGCGCUGGAGGCCAAGCAGAGGAGGCGGCGCCAACAUGCGCAGAUUGACACUUCCAGGUAGGAUGUUUAAGAGCAGAAGGCACCAGCUGCUCUGAGAUUCCAUAAUCACUUCUCUCCUUAACCUUCCCACCAGGAACUGCUGUUAGAGAUGAUGCUUGUUGGAAAAGACGCAGCAAACCUGAUGCCUGUAAACCUCUCUGGUCCCUCUCUCCUUUUGUCCUUCCCUUCCUUCUUUUUUGUUUUGAGACAGGGUCUCGCUCUGUACCCCAAGCUGGCUUCAGACUCAGCUUCUAAGUGCUGAGAUCACAAGUGUGAGUCACCAGGCCAGGCUUCCUUUCCUUUUUUGAUCCUAAUGAAGCAAAUCGCAUGUAAAUAAACUGAUUUGUUACAG
rnacentral:lncRNA from 1 species